UUAAUUCUCCUCUAUCCUCAUUUUACACUUCAUAUUUACUUAUUCCAUUAUACCCUGUCUGCCAAUACGGUCUAAUAUUCUUCUCCAACCUUUUUCUAACAUUCUUUUAUAUUACAGUGUUUCUGAAGAUAUAUUUUAAAUUUUUUCCAGUCUUCUUCCAUCAACCCUUCUUCCUGAUCUCGAAUUCUGCCGGUCAUCUCAGCCAGUUCCAUAUAGUCCAUCACUUUCCUCUGCCAUUCUUCUCGGGUAGGCAAUUCUUGUGUCUUCCAGUAUUUCCCAAUAAGUAUUCUUGCCGCUGCUGUCGCAUACAUAAAAAAAUUCCUAUCUUCCCUUCGCACCAAUUGGCCGACCAUGCCCAGGAGGAAGGCCUCUG
rnacentral:lncRNA from 1 species